rnacentral:lncRNA from 1 species
AUGUGAGAGGAGAGGGGUGAAAAAAGUAGAUAGAGGGGGUGUAGAAAGUAGCACCAAAAAAAAAAGCCAAUAAGGUAGUGAUAGAGUGGUUGGGGAAAGAAUUGGUGUUCCUUGACCCAGGUUUGAUUCCUACUCUCCUCAUUAUUUUCUGCGGCAUCCAGAUGAAGAGUGAAUACAGGGGCUGGCGGCGGUCGAGUAGUCGACCUUGGCCACAGCGCUCGGUAUCAUGGUGGUUGGCACGUUGUUCCUUGCCAUUAAAAAAAAAAACUAUAGCUUUGUAAUUAUGCCCCUUACUGAAUUCCGGCAAUUGAUUGAUGAUGUUUCUCCUGUUGUAAGCAAGUCUAUUAAGAUAUAAAAUUUGAAGACAUGACCUUGAACUAUUUAUAAACAUCAUUGAGGAUGUUUC